AACUAUGGAAAAAGUUGAGUAAGUAUGUAGGCCAUAAGGUACUGCUUCAUUCUACAAGUGGAAUUGAGAACUCAACACUCCUCGAUAGCAAUAGCAAGAAUCAUAAGUAUAACUAUUUACGUUGAUUCAGAUUUCCUGAAAAACAGUGAUAGCUUAAGCAUGAGUAAUUACAGCUUUGUUUCAGUUUUCGCAUUUAUUUUGGCGUUUUAUGUUUCAACAGGAAACGCUAUACUAUGUUACAAGUGUUAUCAUCAUAGUACUAACGCACCAGAUCCAAACUGUGUAAACGUAAAUGAAAAAACCCCUAGAGAAACAUUGUCCAACAUUCAUGGUGAAUAUGGCUGGGAAGGAUGCGUAUACAUGAAGAUAAAACAUUACGAUGGCGCAGAUUCUGUAACACGAGAGGCGGUUCUCGUACGCAGGGACGCACCAGUUGAGAAUUACUGUCCGGAUGGAUUUUCCAGCACAUACUAUACUCCAAGAAAAUGCGAAUCUUGUUAUACAGAUCUUUGCAAUUCAAUGUCAGGCGGCCCAGCACCUCCAACCACAUCACCUCCAAACACGUCAUUAGCAGAGAAGGAAUCGAUUAACAUCUCGGUUGGGGGUAUUCACUACCUCUGUUAUCCACGGGUGUAAACCACAACCGCGAAUAACCGAAAACGGUAACCAAAACCCGAACAACCACCACAUCAUCACCUCCAAUCAUGUUAUCACCUCACAAAUUAGGGAACUAUAACCCAGGUAUGUCAGACGGCCAUUUUGUUCCUGGUUUGACCAACUUAGCAUUGCAGUAUAUGGGAAUUCGGCAAACUUUAACCGCGUAUAUCUUCAAAACCGUGCACUUUUACAACUUUUUCAUAAUAACAUCUUUGAAACUUGAAAGAGAAUUGAACGAGCUUUCCAAUGGUAUGCUAUACAUGUAUCAAUUGAAAUACAUUUAAUUGUUUUGAAUUUCAGUCAUUUUUCAGCACUUCACUUUUGGGUUAAAAAUAGUUUGAAAUUGUGUGAAAUUCACAGCAUGUGCUCUAAUUCAAUGAUUACUUUCAUUCUAUGCCAGAAAUUCCGUCAUAAAAACCUUGAAUCGAAAAACAACAAUUUUUUUUCGUGAGGAACAAAAUGGGAGUCUGACAUACCCUGGUUACAGUACCUUACACAAAUACGCCAUUGCCAGAGAUGGAACCGAUUGAAAUCUGGAUUAAGGGUGUUCACAGUUCACUACCUCUGUUGGUGCUAUCAGUUCAGAUUUCUGAUGAAAACUGCAGUGAACUUUGGGCAAGGAUUGUGUAAAACCUAUCGGAUAGAUUUUUGUGGGGUUUGGUUUACUUAUUUUACUCAUUCUACUUCGCAAAAUGCGUUAAGAAAUCAUAACAACUUUGACUAUAUUCAGUAUUCACUAGUAAAAAAUAUAACAAUAACAAAACCAAGGAUCUCUUUCAUAUCAGUUUACAGUACAAUUAUUAUGAAUAGUGUUUUUAAAUAACCAUAUUGAGCAAUGAGCAUUUAUGCUUUCCAAAGAAAGUCUUGUUCUAUGAAUCAAAGCGUUAGCCGAUCAUAUUUUUUCAUUCUUUGAAAUUAUUAUCCAAUUAAUUUUCCAAUUUCCAGAAACAAAAGAACCAAUUUGUGCAUCAUAAACUUUGUUUAAUAGGUAACUACGUAACAAAAUUGAGUAUACCUGAUUUCGACAGCCAAAGUGAACACACCCCAGUGUCACCACUCAUAACUGAUCACUAUCAGCAUUCAUUUGGUGAUGAUAUUGCUUCAUGCCGAAAAAUUGUGAGGAAAAAUAAAAAUUGCAUAUUUUGAAAAAAUUUUCUGAGGUUUUUUGAUUUUGCUCUGAAAUAAUAUGAAAUUUGAUGUACCUAUUCAUCAAUUUGUUCACAUAAAUCAGAAGACAAUCGAAGGUGCUUUCCGAUGGUGUAAUUACAGAUUUUUUCAAAGUAUGUGUUCAAAUCAAAUUUUUCAAAAGUUUACAAAUUCCAAAUAUUGACUACACAGUACACAUGUUCUAAUAUCACACACCUAAUUCUUGCAGCGAUAUUCCUACGAUAAUUUUUUGUGGGCAAGAUUUAAUAUUUCUGUCAAUUUUGUGAUCGCUUAUACUUGUCAGAUAACAAAGGGCAAGAUUGGAUUUGUUGCAAUACAUAAGUGUUUUCUCUGGCCACAUGUCGCUUGUGAUGCUGCAUUCAAAAAUAACAAACGAAAAUAUAUUUGUACGCCAUGUUUAAAAAACAUGGUAAGUAAGUACCUAUGUAAUUUAGGUAAUGUAAUGAUCCAAUUUUGACCAUGAGAGUCAGUGGUACAUAUAUUGAAAAAUGAACAAAAUUGAAGAGUUCGUAACAAAAAGGGGUAUACGAGAUGACACAUAUGUCCUUUUUGAGACGAAUCCAUAUUGUUAUUCUUCAGACCUUCCUCUAUCAUAUGAGACCACCCCCACUUCACAAAAUCGAAAAACCAGUUGAGCUAUCGCCAUUUGAAUACUGCAAAGUCGAUUAAAAAUUUACUUUUUCUGAGAUAAUGGGUUACUCAUGGUCGAUGUUGUGUUGUCAACUGUUAUUUACCUGGUUUGAAUCCAAAAAUUUGCUCAAAAGUAUUUUUAAAUCAAUAAAAAAAAUUUGACGAAAAAAA